CGCGGCCUAUCAGCUUGUUGGUGAGGUAAUGGCUUACCAAGGCGACGACGGGUAGCCGGCCUGAGAGGGCGACCGGCCACACUGGGACUGAGGCACGGCCCAGACUCCUACGGGAGGCAGCAGUGGGGAAUAUUGCACAAUGGGGGAAACCCUGAUGCAGCGACGCCGCGUGCGGGAUGAAGGCCUUCGGGUUGUAAACCGCUUUCAGCAGGGACGAAAGUGACGGUACCUGCAGAAGAAGCACCGGCUAACUACGUGCCAGCAGCCGCGGUAAUACGUAGGGUGCAAGCGUUGUCCGGAAUUAUUGGGCGUAAAGAGUUCGUAGGCGGCUUGUCGCGUCCGUUGUGAAAGCUUGGGGCUCAACCCCAAGUCUGCAGUGGAUACGGGCAGGCUAGAGUCAGGUAGGGGAGAACGGAAUUCCUGGUGUAGCGGUGAAAUGCGCAGAUAUCAGGAGGAACACCGGUGGCGAAGGCGGUUCUCUGGGCCUGUACUGACGCUGAGGAACGAAAGCGUGGGGAGCGAACAGGAUUAGAUACCCUGGUAGUCCACGCCGUAAACGGUGGGCGCUAGAUGUGGGGACCUUCCACGGUUUCUGCGUCGCAGCUAACGCAUUAAGCGCCCCGCCUGGGGAGUACG
rnacentral:rRNA from 1 species